rnacentral:rRNA from 1 species
AGAACGAACGCUGGCGGCAUGCCUAACACAUGCAAGUCGAACGCUCUUGGGCGUUCGGUCUCAGGGGAGGUGGCGCACGGGUGAGUAGCGCGUGGGAACCUGCCCUGUUGUGGGGGAGUAACCGAGGGAAACUUCGGCUAAUACCGCAUAAGCCGGUUGUCUUGAAGGAGAUGGCCGGGAAAGAUUUAUCGCGACAGGAGGGGCCCGCGUCGGAUUAGCUAGUUGGUGGGGUAACGGCCCACCAAGGCGGUGAUCCGUAGCUGGUCUGAGAGGAUGAUCAGCCACACUGGGACUGAGACACGGCCCAGACUCCUACGGGAGGCAGCAGUGGGGGAAUAUUGGACAAUGGGCGCAAGCCUGAUCCAGCCAUGCCGCGUGAGUGAUGAAGGCCCUAGGGUUGUAAAGCUCUUUUGUGCGGGAAGAUAAUGACGGUACCGCAAGAAUAAGCCCCGGCUAACUUCGCGCCAGCAGCCGCGUAA